rnacentral:rRNA from 1 species
UACAGAGGUCCCAAGCGUUGUUCGGAUUCACUGGGCGUAAAGGGUGCGUAGGUGGCCAGGUAAGUCUGAUGUGAAAUCUCGGAGCUCAACUCCGAAACUGCAUUGGAUACUAUCUGGCUGGAGGGUCGGAGGGGGGACUGGAAUUCUCGGUGUAGCAGUGAAAUGUGUAGAUAUCGAGAGGAACACCAGUGGCGAAGGCGAGUCCCUGGACGACUCCUGACACUGAGGCACGAAAGCUAGGGGAGCAAACAGG